rnacentral:rRNA from 1 species
AAUGAACGCUGGCGGCAGGCCUAACACAUGCAAGUCGAACGGAUCCUUCGGGAUUAGUGGCGGACGGGUGCGCAACGCGUGGGAACAUACCCAAAGGUACGGAAUAGCCUCGGGAAACUGGGAGUAAUACCGUAUGUGCUCGAAAGCGAAAAGAUUUAUCGCCUUUGGAUUGGCCCGGGUUGGAUUAGGUCGUUGGUGGGGUAAUGGCCUACCAAGCCGACGAUCCAUUGCUGGUUGGAGAGUAUUAUCAGCCACACUGGGACUGAGACACGGCCCAGACUCCUACGGGGGGCAGCAGUGUGGAAUCUUAGACGAUGGGGGAAACCGUGAUCUAGCCAUGCCGCGUGAUCGAUGAAGGCCUUAGGGUUGUAAAGAUCGUUCAGGUGGGAAGAUAAUGACUGUACCACCAGAAGAAGCCCCGGCUAACUCCGUGCCAGCCGCAGCGGUAG